AAGUAGCCGCCGGUGGAACGGGAAUCAUUGAUGUUGAUUUUACGAGAAAAAUUUUUCUCGCUGCUUU
rnacentral:tRNA from 1 species